AGGUUCAGUGAAUGUGGAUGGGCAUUUACUUGCAUUAUCCUUGGGGCUCACCUCUCUAAUUAACCUAGCCCAUUCCCACGAAAAGAUUGGGCUUUCAAAUUUGGGUUGCCCAUCCCAAGGCCCAAAAUAGAAGACGCUUUUGAGAAUUUGAUAUUAGCAUUUAGCCGUUGUGAUUUCAAACUUUGAAAUCUAAAGAAAAAAACAGUACUCUAUUCCUCUCUUCGCUCAAUUGCUAAAUCUCAGAAAGAAAAGAACGUUACUCUUUUGCGCUCCAUUGCUCUCUUGCUUUAUUGGUUAAGAAGUUGGAUCUUGGAAAUGGAGAACCAUGAACGAUCAAUCCAUUCAAAUCCAAAUGCUCGCUGAAAAUUCCACCGCUUUGUUCUUUGACUACGUUCCUUCUGAGUCAGAUGAUGUAUCGAAGCAAGUGAACGAGAAACAGACUCCGUGGAUGAAAACACUAUGUCACAGCGAAUCCACCAAGUUUCUCCGGAUAAGGGUCACACACUUCCCAUAUUGAAGAAAAUACUUGAUCUCGACACUAAAAUUCAGGAUAUGAAGAAGCAUCAUAUAGCACUGUCUGAUGAAGUCCGUGCAGCUUUUCCGGUUGAAUCUUUUCCGGGCACUGCUGUUUUGAAGUCCGUGCAGACUAGAAAGUACUUGGAUGCGUGGUGUGUUUUCUUUUGGGCUACAACACCAACACUCUUCUCCCUUUCCACAUUUGGACUCUAUGCACUGAUGGGACAUCAACUUGAUGCUGCAAUGGUUUUCAGUUGUCUUGCAUUGUUCAACACCCUUAUUUCACCACUAAAUUCAUUCCCUUGGGUAAUUAAUGGAUUGAUUGAUGCCAUCAUAUCUUCUGGACGGUUGAGUAGGUUUCUCGCUUGUCCUGAACAUAAAUUUAAAAGGCAACAGCCUGAUUCUGAUCAAGGUUUGGGUGUAUUUAUCAAAGAUGCAUGUUGUACUUUGUCAAGUAGUGAGGAACAGGCAUUAAAUAUGGUGUUGAAUCAUGUGACUCUAAGUGUGUCCCAGGGUUCCUUUGUUGCAGUUAUUGGAGAGGUUGGUUCAGGUAAAUCAUCCCUGUUAUAUUCAAUCCUUGGAGAAAUGCAGCUUGUUCGUGGCUCUGUUUAUUCCAAUGAAUCCACUGCUUAUGUACCACAGGUCCCUUGGAUUUUAUCUGGAAGGGUGCACGACAACAUAUUAUUCGGGAAAAUUUAUGAUCCUGAAAGGUUCAGUGAAUGUGGAUGGGUAUUUACUUGCGUUAUCCUUGGGGCUCACCUCUAUAAUUAAGUAAGUUUAACUCUUGUGGUGUGUGUGUGUUUUGGGUUGUGUGUUUUUGUGGUGUGUGUUUUAUACUGUAUUGCAGUUUUAUACAAUAGUUUAGUUCAGUUAUCAGAAUUUGCAAUUUUAUCCUUUUCUAAGUUUAUUUUACGUUUUAGGUAGUUAGAUUUUUUGUUGUAACCGGUGUUGGUAGUUUGAACUGUCUUUUAGUCAUAUUUUGUCAUUAGAAACUUUUUACGAUAGUUAGAUUGCAGUUUCGUAGACCUUUCCAAGCCGAGGUAUCUGUUUAUGUCCUCCUACGAACAGGUUAUUCUUUAUAUCUAUGCAUAAUUCGCUCCUUUUUAACAUUGUCUGAUAAAUUGUGUGUGUUUUUAGUUCCUUGAUGAUGCAGAUUGAAUAUCCAGAGACUGUAGACCUUGCCAAGUUGAGGCACCGAUUUAUGUCCUCCUAUGAACAGAAGGUGCAACCCUUUGAUAAAAGAUAUCAGUACCUUCUGUUGUAGCUGAACCGUAUGAAAUAAUUGCAUUCAAGAUAUCCAAAUACAGGCCGAUUCAAGAGAAUCCAAGUCAUUUCACUUUAAGUGUAUGAAAUUCUUCCAGGACCCCUCCAACUAAUCCUUCUGUUGAUUAUCCGUUUGGUGAUUCAGAUCAUGUUUCUAAGAGAACAAGACCAAUGGGAAUAUCAUAUGAGUUGUUUGUUGGCACGAAUGUGGGGGACAUUGCUUUGUGGGAACUAGGCUCCAAUGAGCGGUUGUUGAUAAGGAACUUGAAAGUGUGGGAUCUUAUUGCUUGUUCAAUGCCCUUUUAGGUUGUCCUAUCUCACCUUAUUUAUUGAGUACUGAACCCUCAGAAUUGUUGAGUUUGCAAUUAUUGAAAGAAAAACUAAUCAUAAUUAAUCCUCUAUUGUUGUGCUUGGGGUGUUGUGGUGUAUUUUUGUUUUGUAUGUUAUGUGUUGUGUGUUGUGUUCUUCUUGUGUCUUGUGUGUUGUGCGCUUUAUACUUUUCUUGUGAGUUGUGUGCUCUGUACUUUUCUUGUGUGUUGUAUCUUUUGUGUUUUGUGAUUUGGAUUUUUUGCUUUGUGCUUUUGUUGUGGUUUGUUUUGUUGUGUGUUGUGUGUUGUGAUAUAUUUUUAUUUUAUAUAUUGUGUUGUGUAAGUUGUGUUUUGUGUUUUGUGUGAGCUAUGCGGGUUGUGCAGGCUGUGCGUGCUCUGGAGGGAGCAGAGGAGAUAGUUGAUGUUGAGUUGAGGAAAGAGGGAAAAGUUGAAAUUGGAGUGUAUAAGUAAACAUAUACAUCUCUGAUGCGUCGUCAUGUUUCAUCCACUUUUAUAGACUAGAAAGUACUUGGAUGCGUGGUGUGUUUUCUUUUGGGCUACAACACCAACACUCUUCUCCCUUUUCACAUUUGGACUCUACACACUGAUGGGACAUCAACUUGAUGCUGCAAUGGUUUUCACUUGUCUUGCAUUGUUCAACCCCUUAUUUCACCACUAAAUUCAUUCCCUUGGGUAAUUAAUGGAUUGAUUGAUGCCAUCAUAUCUUCUGGACGGUUGAGUAGGUUUCUCGCUUGUCCUGAACAUAAAUUUAAAGAUGGAGACACAAAUUCCUGUCCAUCAUCAUUCCUAAGUGAACAGUCUGAUUGUGUUCAAGGUUUGGGUGUAUUUAUCCAAGAUGCAUGUUGUACUUGGUCAAGUAGUGAGGAACAGGCAUUAAAUAUGGUGUUGAAUCAUGUGACUCUAAGUGUAUCCCAGGGUUCCUUUGUUGCAGUUAUUGGAGAGGUCAGA